GGGAAAUGGAAACCGCCCAAAACCGUUUUAGGGGAAAAUUUGACCCAUAAACCCACCAAACUUGACCCGCUUGUAUCUUUUUCAUCCGAACUCCGUUUUGGAUGAUCUUGGUGUCCCUGGAAAGCUCUUGCCGAGCUCUACAUCUCUGUGAUUUUAGAUUUCCCCAUUUCCUUUCCAUCUUUGCAGCUCGAGGUCGCAAAGUCCACGACUUUUCCGGCGGUUUUAUCAUUUUUCCGGCGAUUCCGGCAACGAUUUCCUUCGAGUGAGUAAUUUACCACAAUUCCUGCACAAGCUUGUUUAGUUCCGGCUUGCAUCAACAUGUACUUUAAAGGAAGGAUGUUCAGGAGGUGACCACCCUUUUCUUUGUGUCCCAAUAUUUUGAUUUUGAUGAUUCUCUUCUUAGCCUUCAAAUAUGUUCAAUAAGCACAAGAUAUAGCCUGUAUAACCUGCAUUGGCAAAAUAGCCUUAUGAUUGAAAAUUAAAUUACAUCUAGUUUUCCAUAUUUGCCAACAAGUACAAGCAAUUUGGGCCAUAAUUUUUGCUUUCUCCUUUUUGUUUCUCAUAUCAGCACAUAAUAAAGUAUUUAACCAUUCCCCAAAAGUUGUAAUCUCAUUUUUAUUCACCUUGUAAUUAAGUUGUCCCCAGAACCAGAUCUAAUCCACUUAUGGACAAAGCAGGAGCAUGUGUUCAACGAACUCCUCCUGCUUAUUGCAAUAGGACAUAUUAGAGCGUUUGAUAAGGGGUUUUUUUUUUUUUUUUUUUUAAGAUUUACUCUUGCAGCAAUAGCCCCUCUCAUAACCCUCCAAGUGAAGUUUCAAAUUUUGGGCGAGCCUCUAAUUUUCAAAUUAAUUUCCAUACUUGAUUGCUUAUCAGCAAUUAUGAAGAAGGAUGGUGGGGUUUAUUCUUGAUUUCUUUGUCAUGUAGCCAUGAUACCCCGACUUCACAUUCUAAUUUUCUUUUUAUCCGUAGGCCAAAGGAAUUGUUAUAAGGUUUGAAAAAAAAAAAGAUUAGCCGAUCUUCGCUUUGGGUAUUCCCAAUUUGCAGCUCCUUUAUCAUCACCUGCUCAUGGUCUGGAAUUUGUGAUCUUAUUGAUUCCUAUUGCCACUCUCCCGUGUCUUGGCAUAUUAUAGAAUUCACUCUUUGGUUUAUGUCAAUUUCAGUAUCUUCAAUUGGGGUUGGAUGUCCCAUUGGUAGUGAAGGCAGCCACCAAUCUUUCCAUAAUCUGAUUGAAUUACCAUCCUUCACCUGCCAAUUAGCACAUUUCAAUACCUCUCUUCUUUCCGUAAUGCUUGCCCACGCCUAUGAUGCCCUGCUUCCUUUUUUAGCUUUCAAGAAUGAGGUAUUAGGAAACUAUCUAUCCUUCAGUACUUUGACACAUAGCGAUUCAUGUUUAUGAAUUAUACGCCAACAUUGCUUUGCAAGCAAAGCUAAAUUAAACUCCGGAAGAUUCUGGGCCCAUUCCACCUUGUUGUUUAGGUAAGUCAAAAGAUUUCCAACUCACCCAAUGAACUUUGUUUAGGUAAGUCAAGAGAUUUCCAACUCACCCAAUGAACUUUCCUUUCUUCAUCUUUCUAUUCCCACCAAAAUUUGGCUAGCGUUGAAUCAAAAUCUCUACAUAAUUACAAUGAGAACUUGAAACUAUUCAUCGAAUACACUGGUACUGUUUGUGCUUCCUCUUUUACGAGAACCUCUCUUCCCGCUUGUGAGAGCAAAAUUUGUUUCUAACUUUGAAUUUUCCUCAACAUCUUUUCUUUUAUCUAUAUAGAUAAAUAAAGCGAGGGCCCCAAAAUGGUGAAGCAUUAAAAAAUGUCAAGAAUAUCCCUGUGUUUCCUUUACAAUCAAAAUCCAAAAAAUGAGGGCAAAAAUGUAAAAAAGAACUUAACUUAUCAGAAACUGUAUUGGAAACAAAACAUGGUAAUUAAAAUAAAAAAAUCAUGAUAAUUAUCAUCUAAAAGUUAGUAGUUAUGGAGAGGAGAGAGAGAUAAAUAAUAAAAAGGCAACAAAAAAAUAUUAAAAAUAAAACAAAUUAAAAUAAAUAGAAAAAAAUUAGAUAAUCCAAACUAAAAUGGCAAAACCAUUUGGAAGUGAAGAGGAUGAAUGUGGUGUCAUUUUUGAAACUGCUAUGAGCAUUUAUCGUGUGGUUUUUUAAAUAGAUAUCUAUGGGAAAGCGCCUCAAAAUUUUUUUGACUAGCCGGGUUUCUUUUUUAGUUAUUCUUCUCUUUUAUUCACCUUAAUUUCUUGAUGCAUGAUUUUUAAUAAAUAUUUCAUAGAAUGUUUAUGCUUCCAUUUUGAUUAGUACGGUUCUUGCUAUAUUUUAGAUUAUUAAACAAACAAAAAACAAAUAAAAGUAAAGGGACGUGAUGGGUAACUCCUCCAUUUGAGGAUGAGAUAUUAAUAUCUCACAAAAUUAUAUUAAACAAAAAGAAACAAAUAAAAGUAGGGGACGUGAUGAAUAACUCUUCCAUUUUAGGAUGAGAUAUUAAAGUCAGAGAUAAUUGUACUGAACAUCAUUUUAGGAGAGAAAUAUUAAAAAAUUAAGUAAAAAAAAAAAAGCAACAUAGUGAAUAAGUGCUCUUCAUUUUAGGAGAGAGAGAUAUUAAACAGAAAAAUUAAAAUUUGUUAUAUUG